GGGCAGGGCAAUAGUAGAAUAAUGAAAGCACUGGAGAGUAGGAGAGAUAAAUGAAGGAAGGAACACUGUAACUUUCUCUUUGACUCUGUACUUCUUUUAUGUUGUCCACUCAUUUUUUUUUUUUUCCUUUCCUUCCUUGCAGGGAGAAGGUCACUCUGAUGUGAUGGAAAGGCAGAAAUCAAUGAUGGCUGGCUCCUCAGUGAUAUGAGUCAAUCCAUCAGACAGAAUGAUGGCAGUCACCCAGCCUUCACAGCCACCACCACCAUGCUGGCAAAUGUCACAUUUGGAAUUCAUUUGCAUAGCUGGGUAGCACUCCCUGUGGAGUUACAUUGAACAAUUUUGCAGCUGUGACAGCUUGAAAUAGAAAAGCUAAUGCAGCUAUCAACUUCCGCUGUGCCUUGUUUCCUUAAAAUCUAGCUGGGAAAUCUUGUUACAGAAAGGAGGAAGAUCACGUAAAAUGGAAGGGAAACUGGUGCAAAGCUUUCAGGAACCAAGCACGUCUGGGUGGCGUUUGGAAGAGGCAUACAGGGACAUAGAGGCAUGGUUUCCCACCGACUGAGAUGAAGCUUCUCUUCCUAACAUCCUUCCACAGAAAGCAGAUAGCCAAAAGAUAUUUUUGACUGAAUGGAUGGAGGAAGAUGAGGAGUGAAGACCCCAAUUUCUUUCCCCUCAUAACGAAGUCAAAAGGGGACUCCAUUAUGAAGGAGUGUUGGUGAGAGAAUGUGGAUCCUUACAGCAAAUUGGAACUGUAUGAGAGAUGGAAGAUUUAAUCCAAGCUGUGCCAAGGCUCACCACCCUAGACAGGUCUGUGAAGAUGACAGGCUGAGACUUGUUUUACAACCUACCCUUUUCCUCGUCCCCAGUGCCGCCACUCCAUCCUGAAUUUCACUACCACAAUCAUCUCCUAAGGGGUCCACUUUGCAACCCCAUUCACAAGAUGUCCAUAGACUUUUCAAAACACAUAUAUAUAAAAUUGUCUCUGCUGUUCUUACAACAAAAUAAUGGCUUCCCAUUUUCUGUGUAAAAAUAAAUAAAUAAGACGCCCUAAGUGUUUUGUUCCA
rnacentral:lncRNA from 13 species